UUUGAUUUUAGGUUCAAAUUCUAAAUUUAAAUUUAUAUUUUUCAUUCAAAAGUUUAAAUUUAAAUUCAAAAUUGAUAAAUUUUAAAUUUAUAUUUAAUUUUUUUACCAAAUGUAGAUUUGAAAUUUAAAAUUUAAAUUUAGAUUUUAUAUUUUAAAUUGUUCGUAUUUUAAAUUUUAAUUUUUAAAAUUUUAAAUUUUUAGCGAAAUUACUUGAGAAAAUUUAUUAAGGCUUUGCUUAGGGUUGUGGAGAUAUUAUAUUACGUGCGGUAAAAUAUUAUGUUUGUUUCCGUAUUUCGCAUAUCGCGAUGAGUCGAUGUUACGAUAUACUUUCUGCGGUCCCACUAGAGAACGCAGAAACAUAUUCAUAUAUACUUUAUCCCAACUCCAUUUUAUCUAAUAAUAUCAUAUGAGCCUCGAUAGCAAACUAAGUCUAAGCAGUUUUACAAAAUAAUGUGAGAAAUAUCACUUUUCUAUGAAACUCAACCAAACCCUCUACAAUU
rnacentral:lncRNA from 1 species